AGGUCAUUUCUAUAAUCACCCGUUUGGAGCAGCAGUGCCCGACAUCGGCAUCUGGGAUCCUGACACGAUUGAUAGAACCGAAUGAAGCAAGUUUGUACUACCCAGAGGAAACCUCCACCUAUAUUGGGAAGCGCUGGCAACUGUUUCUCUGAAACUCUUCAUUCCUCAAACGUUAAUGUUUGCCACAAAUAGUAUUAUCAAAUGGGGAUCAGGACAAUACCACCCCACUUUUAUUCACUGUGAUUUGCAAGAAAGAGAAAAUGGUGGAAUUUUUAUUGAAAAAGCAAAUACACAUGCCGUUGAUAGGCCGAGAUGACGAAGUCUCACUCCGUUGCCAGCCUGGAGUGCGGUGGUGUGAUCUCGGCUCACUGCAACCUCCACCUGCCAGGUUCAAGCGAUUCUCCUGCCUCAACCUCCCACGUAGCUGGGACUACAGAACAGCCCUCAUGCUUGCUGUGCACUAUGACCCGCCAGGUAUUGUCAACAUCCUUCUUAAGCAAAAUGUUAAGAGCUCUACUCAAGACUUGUGUGGAUGAGAGGCCGAAGACUACCCUCUUGUGGGUUGACAAAAUGGAGUCUCACUCCGUUGGCAGCCUGGAGUGCGGUGGUGUGAUCUCGGCUCACUGCAUCCUCCACCUCCCAGGUUCGAGCGAUUCUCCUGCCUCAACCUCCCACGUAGCUGGGACUACAGAUUCCACUUCUGCAAGGCUCCACAGAAGUCUCCAACCUUCAAAUCUUCAGUCUCUGAAAGCACCGAUUCCUGAAAGGAUGGCCUCAAAUGACCAAGUAUACGAGCCGUCUAUAUCCCUGCUCCUGAAAAACAAGCUAACUGGACUCUCCAUCACCUGCCCCCAGCACAGAUGCACUACCAGCUACCCAGCUGAACUCCAUGACUGACUUGCCAUCCAAUCAUGCCCCUGACC
rnacentral:lncRNA from 10 species